UACGUAGGGUCCGAGCGUUGUCCGGAAUUACUGGGCGUAAAGCGCGCGCAGGCGGCCCGCGAGGUGUCACGGGAAAGCCCCGGGCUCAACCCGGGAGGGUCGUGGCAAACCGGCGGGCUUGAGGCCGGUAGAGGUGGGUGGAACUCCUGGUGGAGUGGUGAAAUGCGUAGCGAUCAGGAAGAACACCCGUGGCGAAGGCGGCCCACUGGGCCGGUACUGACGCUGAGGCGCGAAGGCGUGGGGAGCGAACGGG
rnacentral:rRNA from 1 species